UACGUAGGGUGCAAGCGUUGUCCGGAAUUAUUGGGCGUAAAGAGCUCGUAGGCGGUCUGUCGCGUCGGCUGUGGAAACCCGGAGCUCAACUCCGGGCCUGCAGUCGAUACGGGCAGACUGGAGUUCGGCAGGGGAGACUGGAAUUCCUGGUGUAGCGGUGAAAUGCGUAGAUAUCAGGAGGAACACCUGUGGCGAAAGCGGCUCACUGGACCAUAACUGACGCUGAUGCACGAAAGCUAGGGGAGCAAACAGG
rnacentral:rRNA from 1 species